AGGAUGAACGCUAGCGGCAGGCCUAACACAUGCAAGUCGAGGGGCAUCGCGGUGCAGCAAUGCACUGGCGGCGACCGGCGUACGGGUGCGUAACGCGUAUGCAACCUGCCCCGCACCGGGGGAUAGCCCGCCGAAAGGCGGAUUAAUACCCCAUGGUCCCGGGGGCCCGCAUGGGCAUCCGGGUAAAGCCUUGGCGGUGCGGGAUGGGCAUGCGUGCCAUUAGCUGGCUGGUGGGGUAACGGCCCACCAGGGCAACGAUGGCUAGGGGGUCUGAGAGGAUGGUCCCCCACACUGGUACUGAGACACGGACCAGACUCCUACGGGAGGCAGCAGUGAGGAAUAUUGGUCAAUGGGCGGAAGCCUGAACCAGCCAUGCCGCGUGCGGGAUGAAGGCCCUACGGGUUGUAAACCGCUUUUCCCCGGGAAGAAUAACCCCGAUGAGUCGGGGGAUGCCGGUACCGGGGGAAUAAGGAUCGGCUAACCUCCGUG
rnacentral:rRNA from 1 species